rnacentral:lncRNA from 1 species
UUUCUUUCUUGAUGUUAGCAGAUAAUACAAUUACAUAUAGAAAGUUCGACAAAAAAAUCUUUUAUUUGGUGAUAUUAGAAUGUAAUUGAAGACCCAAUCAUUGUGUCUUAUUGGCCCAGGCAAUUACAAUCUUUUGCUGUUUGUUAGUUGAUUAAAAUAUCUGAUAUCUUCUUGUCAAGCUGCUUCAAUCUUUGCAUUAAUACAUUCACAGUCAAAGCAACGUCUGAAAGUUCAAUUAACCUUCAAAGUUCAAGAGAUUAUAUCCUGGCCAGGUCCUACUGAACUUCAACAGCCCACAUCAUGGCUAGCGAAAAACACUAGCAAGCUCUACGAAGUUCCUAUCAUGUUAAAAAUACCCAUAAACAAACACCAAUUAUAAGAAAAGAGGAAAAAUACUCAACUUACUGAUGUUAAACGGUGUAACAGAUCAAUGCCAGUAACUUCCUUUCGUCUAAAACACAAAAAAGGGGAAAAUGAAAUCUCGACAAAGAAGAGUUCAAGAAAAUGAGAGAGAGAGAGAGCGUGAAUGAAGUAUAAUGGGAAAUUCAUCCCUCCCCAACAGCCACAAAACAGUCAUAGAGAGAAGAAAGUAAUAGAAAGUGAAAAAGAGAAAAGCAGAAAGCAGAAAAAAGCUGUAUUUGGGGAGAGGUUGAUGGGUCAUUGUCUUCAUGGGAGUCAGAGAAAGAGAGCGAUAUAAAGAUCUCUACAAAAUCUGGAAAAAGAGGGAGAAAUGGGGUUUAGGGGAUUUCUCAGGUGAUCUUGUAAUUGCAAUUGGAUAUAUAUUUAUACACAGAUGAAUAAAGCCCUCUCUGAGAGAGAGAGAGGCAGAACUUAGUGUAUGUGGGGACUGGGGUCGAGGAAAAAAACAUCUGUGGUUUUCUUUGACCGUAGCCCUUAAAAUUUGCCUGUCUACCACUGGGUGUACGUACUUGUCUACAAGUAUUUAUAUAAACUACUGGAGAAGCCAGAUUAGGGUUAAAGAAUUACCUUGAAUUGUAUCUCGCAUGAUGGGGAUGGAUCAGCAACCAAAGACCCUAGGUUAAUCUGGUCGGCUGAUAAAACCAAAAACACGAGGCAUGACUCGGAUGGGCAGACCUCCAAGCCGACUUUUCUUUUUCUAUAUAUAUAUUUUUUAAUUUUUAGCUAAUUUUGUGAAAAAAUUUAAAAUAAAAAUGAAAACAAGUUCAUUUUGAUUGAUAAGUCUUAGGACUUGGAGUUGUGCCUAAACAAUAAGCAAUUAGGAAGAGUAUUUCAAUCAUUUAUACAUCCAAGAGCAUCCAUGUCAAGUUAAUGUGAGACUUUUAUUUAUGUAUCUCUCUAUAAAUUCACUCUAAAAUGAAAAAUCACAUCAUCAUUCACUCAUCAACACGAUCCCUCUUUAGUUAUGAACUUUUCUAUAUAUCCCAAUUGCAGCUAGUUAAGAAGAUCACACACUUAAUCAAAAUCUGCAUCAUAUCUAUCGUACUAUAUAUGCCCCCAUCACCUUAGAGAUUCCACCACUUCGAAAAUUCACUAUGGCGGAAUAAGUCGUUACAUGUCACGGAUUAACAAGGGCCCCAUCUUCAUUUGAACAUUUGUUAAUUAAAUCCAUCCCAUGAAAAAAAGUAUAGUUCAAUCUUGGGGUGUAAGUCGCUACAUAUCAUGACUAACUAGGGUCCCAUCUUCAUUCAAACCUUCCGAGAGAUUUAUUGGGUAUUCAAAGAAUAACUUUGAUACAAUUGUUGGGACUUUGAUUUAUUAUUAUUAUUAUUAUUAUUAUUAUUAUUAUUAUUAUUAUUAUUAUUAUUAUUAUUAUUAUUAUUAUUAUUAUUAUAGCUUAAUUUAUGAGGAGGGGUACAAUUCCUUAAUAAACUCAAGACCGUCAUUUCACGAAUAAUGUGAACUUUUGUGUGUACAUCGAUAUCUAAUACAUAACAAUAGCAUAUCGAUAAGAAUUUAGUCCUAAUUAAUUUAUUUCAUAAUGUUUUUUUUUUUUGUCAAUUUCUUUGUUACCUCACACAUAUUUGACAACAUAUUAAUUUAAAUGCCUCUUUUGUUUCUUUUUGACCAACGUAGCCUCAUAAGUAGUUACUUGUUUCAAUUGAAUUUCAAUAUUCUUCUUGAUUGCUAAUUUAAUUACUUUAUUAAUGCGUAGUAUUACUCGGUCGGUCCAAUUAUGCUUACUAUACAUGCUUAAUAUAUAUGUUUAUAUUGUCCAAUUCACCUCUUUAUUCAAAAAUAUUCUAAAUUUUGGAGCUUUUUCAAGACUUUACGGAAAGCACUUUUUAUAGCCUUUUGAGAGAAAUUUCAAGAUUUUUUUUUUUUUUCUCUCUGGUUGGCCCUGUUGAAUUGGUCCUUAAAUUUUUUAUUUUUUAUUUUUUAUUUUUUUUUGGGUUUUCUUUAUAUCAAUUCCAUUAUUCCUAAUGUUUUUGAGUUACUUGCACAUAUAAUAUCACUCUUGUUUUCUUGAUUUAAGAAUCUUGUGCCCAAAAGAGUAAGCUUCUACCUUAUAAAUUUUGACAAGUGAUAUAUUAUUUAUACAGGCUCUUAUUCAAUGGAGAGUUUAACAUGGACUUUUUCUAAUUCAUUAUAAACAAAUUUGAAGGCAUAGACGAUUUCUUAUGGAGAUGCCCGUUGUCCCAACACAAAAAGGGAAAAAAAUAUUAUUAGCGAUCUCUACAUUGAUUUUAACAAUUUCUUUCUAAUUACAAGUCAAAAGACAUUAGAUCGACUUCUAAUCGUCAUUCUAUAACGAGAUUAAUUUCUUUAAAACGAAAGUAAAAGAUGAUCUAGUGUCUAUGAAUUUUCAUGGAAAUCGUCUACUUUUGGCUUCCAAUUUAUUUUCCUACAUAUAUUUUUAUGUGUAAUAAACCCAGCUUGAAUUUAUUAUUUGACACUUUGGAUAAGAUUUCUUUUUCAUUUACAAAAAGAAACUGGUAUAACGUAGGCAGGCCAUGUGCUUGUGUCUUUGUACUAAGUAUACACAGUUGUCUGAAAACAUAUAAAACAAUCGAACCUCAAACAACCACCAGCAAUGGCCAUGAUAUAGGAUGCUUCAUGUUGGUUUGUCUGGCAAAGACUAGGACAUUAAUAGAAGUUAAAACUAUACGUCCAAAUUUGAUUCCUUAUAUUCAUAAAUGAUCUAAUGCUUUGAAGAUAAAAUUAAAAUAAAUAAUUUAUAAAAGAUUCGAGGUGUAGUGCACAAUAGAGAACAUGAUAAACAAUGUUCAUGGUUAGUGAUUCAAUGAAAAUAAUGCCGAAUUGGAUUGUAGAAGUUGAGAGGAACCUACUAUUUACUUGCUUUAGCUCUUCAUACAUCAUAGUUAUGUAGAAAAUAUUCUCAGAAAGAGAUGAAAGAAGAUCUUAUUCGGUUCAAUAAAAUAUAUGGCAGUUAAAACAGCUGCUGGAAUAAGGCUUGUUACUGGUAGUAUUUUUAGCAAUUUUAUAGCAAAUUUUGGGCAAUGCUACGUGUACAUAACCAUAUUACACUCCCCUCACAUAGAGGGGAGUCCACACAUAUAAAAUAUGUGUGAGCCCCCUCCAUGUAAGGAAGGUGUAAGGUUGUGUUUACAAUAUAGAUGCCUUCUACAUGACCCUAAAAAAUCUUAGCUAGCAAGCUCUUGGUAAAUAGGUCGACAGCCCACUAUGGACCAUAUCUCUCAUUAAGAGAUGGUAUUUUCACUCUUCAUGUUUUUUCCUCUAGAUGUAUGAGAAAUUUCUUAAGCCAGAUUGCUUCAUUGGUUGUUUUACUAGCUCCCACAUAUUCACCCUCCAUGGUCAAAUCAGAAAACAUGAGUGCUUGAUACUCCUUUAUAUCGUAGCUCCGCCAUGAAGUAUAUCAUUGAUCCCAACGUUUACUUCCUAGAGUCGACACCCAACUGAAAAUUUGAGUCUGUAUAGCCCACGAGAUUUAGCUCGUAAAGCCUAGUACUUAGGAUAUAAUUCUUCGUGUAGAUACUCGGAUAUAUACUUCACAGCUACUUAGUGUUCUGGUCUAGCUUUAGAUUGUUACCGACUGACUAUCUCAAUGGCAUAGCAAAUAUCCAGUCUAAUGCACAACAAGACAUAUAUGAGACUAUCGAUAGCCAAAGUUCAGAGUAUCAGGUUCAUGAUCCCUACCUGCUUAGGAGUUUUUAGGACAUUGCUCAUUCGAGAGGUGGAUUCCAUGUAUAAAGAGCUAGUUCUCGUUCUUGGAAUCUGUUCAUUCAUUUCACUAGUGUACAAAUUGUGACAAAUAAUAUAUCGUGACAAAAUUUGACAACAUGGGAUGGUAGACAUGUUAUAUCGUUGCUUGAACCUAAGAAAAGAGCUCCAACUUUUGUUACAACGACGCCAGUCAACCGUCACUAUUAAGCUGAAGUUUCUAGUCUAAGCCACAUUGUUCACUCCGAGAAUGCAAAUGCUCUAGCCAAACAAUGAGACUACUCUAACCAGAUUGAAGAGCUCAGGUCCAAUAUUUCAAAGAAGCUAGCGCAGGUGAAAGCCUUACGCUUACUAAAUGGUGCCUUGCCUGGGGCUCAGGUGCGACGAGUUCGACCUAGUGCAGGCAUGCCCAACAAGCCAAGGACGCGGCAGCAGCCAAGAAUUUAUCUUGCACCCAUCAGGAUUUUAAGAGAAUUUAUGACUGAAGAGGUUAGUGAAUCUCAACUAGUGAGUGAUCAUUUCAAAAUCGUUAUACCAAUAGUUUAUGUGGGUUGUGGCAAGACGGGGUGCCAUAUUAGUCGACUAAGCAACAGCAAUCCCUUGAGGCCUUCGAGACAGCCUGAAGCUAUAAUAUAUAUGCCAAGCAAACAGCAUGUAGUUGCAGAGGAUUCAUAAGAACAUUCAGUUGACAAUGUAACGUUCGAUAGGAAAACAAUCCUAGACAAGGAUAGGCGAUGUUACAUCUCCCAUACUCAUGAUAGAAAAACAAAAGUUGAACCCCUUCCCCUUGUACAGGAUUGUUUGUAUGCCAGAACAUCAAGUGGCAACACUGUGCUAUUGGAUAAGAAACAGAUUUAAACAAAUCAAUGCAAUGUUUUCACCUAGCAUUCUAUUAAACUGCUUGGCAAACCUCUUUGUACAUGUAAGCAUGAUUCAAAAAAUAGUGUCAGGUGGCAACACUGUAUUGAAUGUUGGAUAAAAAUACGGAUUUAAACAAAUCAAUGCAAUGCUGCCACCUGACAUUCUAUCAAACUGCCUGACAAACCCUAUGUACGUGUCACAUAGCAGCCUGAAGCUAUAAUAUAUAUGCCAAGCCAACCGCAUAUAGUUGCAGAGGAUUCAUAAGAACAUUCAGUUGACAAUGUAACGUUCGAUAGGAAAACAAUCCUAGACAAGGAUAGGCGAUGUUACAUCUCCCAUACUCAUGAUAGAAAAACAAAAGUUGAACCCCUUCCCCUUGUACAGGAUUGUUUGUAUGCCAGAACAUCAAGUGGCAACACUGUGCUAUUGGAUAAGAAACAGAUUUAAACAAAUCAAUGCAAUGUUUUCACCUAGCAUUCUAUUAAACUGCUUGGCAAACCUCUUUGUACAUGUAAGCAUGAUUCAAAAAAUAGUGUCAGGUGGCAACACUGUAUUGAAUGUUGGAUAAAAAUACGGAUUUAAACAAAUCAAUGCAAUGCUGCCACCUGACAUUCUAUCAAACUGCCUGACAAACCCUAUGUACGUGUCACAUAAUUCGAAAAACAAUACUAAACAAUGAUAGGCAAUAUGAAAUCUCACGUACCCAUUCCACUAUUUUACCUUGUUUCUUGCUCACUUGACGGUUGGAGUAGAUGGACAUAGUAACCAAGUUCUCUUUUUGUUUUUUCAAAAACGUCUACUUUUACCGAUCAAGAAAAUCAACGAGAAUUUUGAGUCUAUUUAGAGGUCCAUACUCGAUUUUGCUGACAUUUUGAGUUUCUUUCUUGAUGUUAGCAGAUAAUACAAUUACAUAUAGAAAGUUCGACAAAAAAAUCUUUUAUUUGGUGAUAUUAGAAUGUAAUUGAAGACCCAAUCAUUGUGUCUUAUUGGCCCAGGCAAUUACAAUCUUUUGCUGUUUGUUAGUUGAUUAAAAUAUCUGAUAUCUUCUUGUCAAGCUGCUUCAAUCUUUGCAUUAAUACAUUCACAGUCAAAGCAACGUCUGAAAGUUCAAUUAACCUUCAAAGUUCAAGAGAUUAUAUCUUGGCCAGGUCCUACUGAACUUCAACAGCCCACAUCAUGGCUAGCGAAAAACACUAGCAAGCUC